rnacentral:tRNA from 1 species
GGAAGCUUACCCAAGCGGUUGAAGGGGUCAGUCUUGAAAACUGAGAGGCAUUAACGUGCGCGGGGGUUCGAAUCCCUCAGCUUCCA